rnacentral:lncRNA from 1 species
ACAUACACAAAUAAAGUGAAAGGAUUCAUACUAAGUAUGUGGACAAACGAGCAUUAUAGCAAGCAAUACAACGCAUGAAUACUUAAAAGAGUGGUAGAAAGUUAUUAUAAGGCAGAUUUUAACUAUUUGUUGACCAAAUUAAUUAGAGUAGAUUAGCUAAAAAAAAAUGAGAAAACCUGUGGCAGAAACAUUUAAAGCAGUAGCAAAUUUUAAAAGACAUGCUUAAUAUAAUUAUUAAUUAACUUUAGGUGAUUAGAAAGUAGAUCACAAAAUACAAGACAUAAAUAUUAUUUUAGGUGAUUAGAAAAUAGAUCACAAAAUACAAGACAUAAUAUUUUUUAUUUUAUUUUUUAUCUUAUUUUAAAUUACUUUAUUUUAUUUUACAAAGCAUGUAGCAAAACAGAAUGACUUAUUGGCAUAUUUUCAGUAGCAAAUAAAGUAGAAAUUAAUUAGCUUGAGCUAGAUUCAAUUCAGGAAGCAGAUUUUUAUUUUAAAACAGAAAAUCACUCUUUCAUUUAUUAACAUGAUGAUUGACGUCUCAACUUAUUAAUUAAGUCUUCUAUGCAUGAUUUCUAAGUGUAAACAUGCUAAAAAUUAUCAAAAUUAAGGCAAGACAUCUAUUUCAAUUAAACAAAUUAUUAAAUCCUAUAGGCAUGGUAUUUUUGUAACAGAGUUACGCCGUUAUGCAUACAUACUGCACUUUAAAAUUAUUUAGAUCCUAUAAGCAUGCUUUCUACCUUUAUUUUACUAUACUUAUACUUUAUAUAUAUAAGAGAACAAAAGUCAUUUAUUAGUGAGCAAGGCAUAUUCAAAACAAAUUUAUUUAAUUAUUGAAUAUGCUUAAAGUAAUUCCUAUGGGCGUAUUUUCUAAUUUACUUAGUAGAUCGAUUACUAAAUAACAUUUAAAUAAAUUAGCUCUCAUACAUAAAGGUGGUCCAGAAUCAACAAAGGCAGGUGACAUGUAAGAGAUUUAUUUUACAUUAUUAUAUGCUAAAAUGUCAAGGCAUUCAUUAAUACAGACAAAUAAAGAAAAACGAUGGUAGAUAUUUAAACAAGGAUUUAAGUGAUCAAUUAACCUAAAAGACAAAUUAACAAACAAUGAGCGGAUAAAUGAUCACAACCUAUGUGCAUACUUUCUACACAAUUAAGUUGCAAUAAAGUAAACACGUAGCAUGUAGAUCCCUCCCCCCCUUUAGACGAUCCCCAAAUUAUAUUUAUAUAUAGAGUUAGAGUACUAUACAAAUAUUACACAACUGAAAUAAGUAAUAAAUACAAAUCCAAAAAUACAUAAAAUUAAAUGAUCUAGUCUCUUGGCGAUUCUUCAACUUGAAACUUCAAGUUUGAAACCUGUUAAUUGAUAAGAACAAUACACUAGAAGUAACAACACAAAGCAACCAUUUACAUAUUUAGACAGAAAUUGUAACAACCAAUCACACAUACGUAAACACUUAUAGGAAAGGAAUAGAAAACUGACUCGUAUGCUUCCUUUAUUUAUUAAAUUCCAUUUGGAUUUAUGCAUACAAGUAAAUAAUAUUGAUGCAAAACAGAAAAUUAAAUGUAUAGAAAUAUACUAACCGAUUAAGCAGUUUAUUAAAUCAGCAAUGGAGACAAACUUAACCCAGAGAAUGACCCGAACACAGCAAAACAACAACACAGAGAUGAACUUUAAUUAACCGGAAGAUCUUAAUUCUUUUUCAUAGUAUAGAGAGCAAUAUUAUUUUGCUUAGAAUUAGAAUAUGUGAGCAAGUUAGGACGUGAGUAAAAUGUAUGAAUGUGUACCACCGUGGGUCAGAAAGUGUAAAAGUGUGUCUGUCCUCGAUCAAAAGAAUGAGAGAGUCCUCUUUUAUAGUGAUAGGAAAGGAUCAUGCUAAAGGAAAAAUAAUUAAUAAGGAGCAAUUACAGAUUAAAAGAUUUCCUUAACAAAGAGAGCUAAAUCUGUAAAAUUAAUUUUCCUAAAAUAAGCAAGUAAGAAAUCAGUCUAGUAUGUAAUUAAGGGAAGAGGGAUCAAUUACAAUGUUUUCUUUAUUUUAAGGAGUCAAAAUCAGAUUUAUUUUUUAACUUAUUUUUACCAAAUAUAAGAGUAGCUAAAUAAGACAAGGAUCAUCAAUUAUAAAACGGUAAGCCAAGAGCAAUGACCGGCACAUAAAAGUAUUAAUUUUCUAAGUCAAAUAACCACCUAAUACUAAAUUACCAUAAAUAAACAAGUAAGAAUCUAUUUUGGACAAGAAUUAAGGGAGGAGGGGUCAAUAAUAUAGUAGAAGAGGGGCACAUAUAAGGGAAAUAAAUAAUUUAAGGAAUCCAUUAAUAUGACAUUUUCCUUAUUUCAAAGGAGAGCCCAAAGUUUUCACAAAAUUAUUUUUUGACCAAAUAUAAAACAAGUAAGAAAUCGGAUUACUAUAAUUAAGAAGAAAAAAGUUAAUGAUAGAUUAUACACAAUUAGCCACAAGGAAAUUAAAUAAUUAUUUUUU